rnacentral:rRNA from 1 species
AUUGAACGCUGGCGGCAGGCCUAACACAUGCAAGUCGAGCGAGAGGCGGACGGGUGAGAAAUGUAUGGGGACUGCCCGAGAGAGGGGGAUAACUACUGGAAACGGGAGCUAAUACUGCAUACUAUCGGAUAACCCAGAUGGGAUUAGCUAUUAGGUGGGGUAAAGGCGCACCUAGGCGACGAUCUCUGGAUGGACUGAGAGGAUGAUCAGCCACACUGGGACUGAGACACGGCCCAGGCUACGACGGAGGCAGCAGUGGGGAAUAUUGCACAAUGGGCGAAAGCCUGAUGCAGCGACGCCGCGUGGGGGAUGCAGGCUUUCGGGUUGUAAACCUCUUUCGCUAUCGAACGGGUAUGUGGAGAAGAAGCGCCGGCUAACUACGUGCCAGCAGCCGCGGUAAUUC